rnacentral:rRNA from 1 species
AGAAAGAACUACAGAUCCCUAGUAACUGCGAGUGAACGCGGAAACGUCAAAGUUUAAAAGCUGGGACUGCGCUGACCGAGUGUAAUCUAGAGAAGUGGUUAACCGCGCUUGGAACCGUGUACAAGUCUCUCGGAAUGGAACGCUCAUGGAGGGUGAGAACCCCGUCUUUGACACGGACUACCAGGGCUUUGUGAUGCGCUCUCAAAGAGCGAGUUGUUUGGGAAUGCAGCUCAAAAUGGGUGGUAAAUUCCAUCUAAAGCUAAAUAUGGCGAGAGACCGAUAGCGAACAAGUACCGUGAGGGAAAGAUGAAAAGAACUUUGGAAAGAGAGUUAUGCCCANNAAUCAACCUUGCUUUUUGCGGGUGUACUUCCUGGCCGANDGGCCAGCAUCAGUUUUGGCCGUUGGAAAAAGGUUAGGGGAAUGUGGCAUCUUCGAUGUGUUAUAGCCCUAGCCGCAUACAACGGCUGGGAACUGAGGACUCAGCACGCCGCAAGGCCGGGCUUUGCCCACGUACGUGCGUUAGGAUGCUGGCAUAAUGGCCUUAAGCGACCCGUCUUGAAACACGGACCAAGGAGCCGGCAGUAGUUUGGGUGGAAAACCCGAGGCGGUAAUGAAAGUGAAAGUGAGAUCCCUGUCGCGGGGAGCAUCGACGCCCGGUUCAGACCUUUUGUGACGACUCCGCGGUAGAGCAUGUAU